CAAUGUAGAACAAGAACUAUAAGCAAUAGAAAAAUAAUUUGCAAUAAACCUUAUUGAGCAAUACGUUAUAUGUACAAUGUUAUUGUUAGUUCAUCUGUUGAAUUUGGUUGUUAUUACAAAUUGUAUUCUAGGUGGCUACGAUAUAAAUAUAGUCGCAGCACCUUACCAAGUCAACUUCGGAGAUAUUUGUGGUGGAGUAAUUAUUGCUGAUCAUUGGAUACUAACCAGUGCACACUGCAAAUCAGAUUUUAUACGAACUGGAAGCAAGUAUAGAUUAAAGGGACGAAAAAUUUACAUUAAGUCUAGAUUCAUUCAUCCACUGUACAGACAAGAACAUUUUUUUGACUAUGAUGUACAGUUGCUGGAGCUAGAAGAAAGACUGAAGUUUGGGAGGACUGUAUCAGCGAUAGCGAUCAGUGAUGGAAGUUGUGGUGAUGAUGUAUUCGUUAAUGGAUGGGGAUUUUCUAAGGAAAAGGGUCACUAUGAAGAUAUUUUGAAACAAGUAAACAUCCAAAUAGUGUCUUUGAACGAAUGCCAAAAAGUUCCGAAUUUUUGGUAUAAUCACACACUGACUCCAAGAAUGUUCUGUGCUGGUGAUUCCGAGGGUGAUGCUUGCCAGGGCGACAGUGGUGGAGGUGCCGUGUCGUACAGACAUCUCGUUGGGAUCUCCUCGUUUGGAUUCGGUUGCGGAAGAAUGCCUGGUGUUUAUAUCAAUGUAUCCAGCCCAAACAUACAACUAUGGAUUCGAAGAUAUACAGGAAUAUGAUAUAUAGACUUGUAAUAAUAUCUGUA